rnacentral:rRNA from 1 species
GUGGGGAAUAUUGGACAAUGGGCGAAAGCCUGAUCCAGCCAUGCCACGUGUGUGAAGAAGGUCUUCGGAUUGUAAAGCACUUUAAGUUGGGAGGAAGGGCAGUAAGUUAAUACCUUGCUGUUUUGGCGUUACCGACAGAAUAAGCACCGGCUAACUUCGUGCCAGCAGCCGCGGUAAUACGAAGGGUGCAAGCGUUAAUCGGAAUUACUGGGCGUAAAGCGCGCGUAGGUGGUUGUGUAAGUUGGAGGUGAAAUCCCCGGGCUCAACCUGGGAACUGCCUCCAAAACUGCAUGACUAGAGUACGGUAGAGGGUAGUGGAAUUUCCUGUGUAGCGGUGAAAUGCGUAGAUAUAGGAAGGAACACCAGUGGCGAAGGCGACUACCUGGACUGAUACUGACACUGAGGUGCGAAAGCGUGGGGAGCAAACAGGAUUAGAAACCCGUGUAGUCC